CAACCAUAUGCCAAUCUUGAUGCUCAUGGCAUGUUUUAUGGUCGGACAAAACCCCUAGAAUCAAUCAUACCAUCCAAGAUUGGCUCUAUUGCAUCUGCUGGACUUAAUGCUGAUUGUUUGAUUGUAAAGACAUCAUCAGAUUUACCUGCAAGUUCGAGGAAAACCCCAGUGAGCCGACCUGCUAGGCACCUUGGACCUCCACCUGGUUUUAGCUCAGUUCCUUCUAAACAAGUAAAUGAGCCCACAUCUGGCUCAGAUUCAAUGACUGAGAAUCCACUAAUGGAUGACUAUAGCUGGUUGGAUGAAUAUCAGUUACCAUCAUCAAUG
rnacentral:lncRNA from 1 species